AUUUGAACGCACCACGCACUGCUUCGAUGCUCCUCUUUGUGAAGUUGUCCUCAAACGCCUCUCUGCGCGUUUCCUUCUUCCUGAACUUGGUGUUUGCUGAUCGUUUUCGUACGAAACUCUGUGUGAAGACUGUAGAUGCAGGGGACAGAGAGUAACCAUGGCAACAGGGAGACGCUCUGUGUGCCUCUCUUAACCCGGUGAAGGUAGAAAGUGUGUGUGAGCUGAAUUGAGCAGCAUGGAUCAGUGUGAGGACAGA